AACGAACGCUGGCGGCAUGCCUAACACAUGCAAGUCGAACGAGACCUUCGGGUCUAGUGGCGCACGGGUGCGUAACGCGUGGGAACCUGCCCUUAGGUUCGGAAUAACUCCCCGAAAGGGGUGCUAAUACCGGAUAAUGUCUUCGGACCAAAGAUUUAUCGCCUUUGGAUGGGCCCGCGUUGGAUUAGCUAGUUGGUAGGGUAAAAGCCUACCAAGGCGACGAUCCAUAGCUGGUCUGAGAGGAUGAUCAGCCACACUGGGACUGAGACACGGCCCAGACUCCUGGGGGGGACGCGGAGGGGGAAUAUAGAACAGUGGGCGAAGCUGAUAACCACAAAGGCCGGUAGAAAAAGAAAGUCUUUAGGUUUAAAAAGCUUUUUGACCCGGAAAAAUAAUCACAUAACGGGAAAAAUAGCCGCCGGCUACCCCCGCC
rnacentral:rRNA from 1 species